rnacentral:rRNA from 1 species
GGCUUAAGACAUGCAAGUCGAACGGUAACGACACUAGCUUGCUAGUGGUCGACGAGUGGCGGACGGGUGAGUAACGCGUAGGAAUCUACCUAGUAGUGGGGGAUAGCCAAGGGAAACUUUGGGUAAUACCGCAUACGAUCUAAGGAUGAAAGGGGGCCUCUCUUUGAAGCUCUCGCUAUUAGAUGAGCCUGCGUAAGAUUAGCUUGUUGGUGGGGUAAUGGCCCACCAAGGCGACGAUCUUUAGCUGGUCUGAGAGGAUGAUCAGUCACACUGGAACUGAGACACGGUCCAGACUCCUACGGGAGGCAGCAGUCGGGAAUAUUGGACAAUGGGGGAAACCCUGAUCCAGCCAUGCCGCGUGUGUGAAGAAGGCCCUAGGGUUGUAAAGCACUUUUAGUAGUGAGGAAGGCUCGGUAGUUAAUACCUACCGGGAUUGACGUUAGCUACAGAAAAAGCACCGGCUAA